rnacentral:tRNA from 1 species
UCCCUGGUAGCUCAGAUGGUAAAGCGUCUGCCUACAAUGCAGGAGACCCAAGUUCGAUCCCUGGGUCGGGAG